AACGAACGCUGGCGGCAGGCCUAACACAUGCAAGUCGAGCGCACCCUUCGGGGCGAGCGGCGGACGGGUUAGUAACGCGUGGGAACGUACCCUUUUCUAUGGAAUAGCCUCGGGAAACUGAGAGUAAUACCAUAUAAGCCCUUCGGGGAAAGAUUAUCGGGAAGGAUCGGCCCGCGUUAGAUUAGAUAGUUGGUGGGGUAAUGGCCUACCAAGUCUACGAUCUAUAGCUGGUUUUAGAGGAUGAUCAGCAACACUGGGACUGAGACACGGCCCAGACUCCUACGGGAGGCAGCAGUGGGGAAUCUUAGACAAUGGGCGCAAGCCUGAUCUAGCCAUGCCGCGUGUGUGAUGAAGGUCUUAGGAUCGUAAAGCACUUUCGCCAGGGAUGAUAAUGACAGUACCUGGUAAAGAAACCCGGCAAACUACCGUG
rnacentral:rRNA from 1 species